UGUCCACUUUGUUGUUGUUGUUCAUUCUCAAAUGUCCUAGAGUUUCCAAAAGGAAUAUAGGUGAAAUAUGGAAAGUGGAAAGUGGGAAAGAGGUUUGAGCAGUUUGCUGUCUCUUACCUUAGAUGGACUCUUCUUUCAAAAACUCCACCUAUUGGAAAUGAGUUGGUGAAGUCUCUGAUUCUAUCACCUACUUUGGGUUUUUUUGUUUCUAUCAGACACUCAAAUGAUUAUUACUUUCUUUCUUUCUUUUUUUUUUCUUUCUUCAACAAAUCUGCAAUGUAUUUCAUCCUCUUCCAUAUGCUUUGGGAGCUCAUCUUCUUACAGUUACCACCUCGGGGCCCAUGUUGUUUCAGUUUCCCUCCUUGGGAAGCAGUGAGAAUUCUAAUCCAUAACAUGUUUCAGGUCUGUUCCUGCUUUUAGUAUUUCUCACUAAGCAGCGGACCUACUCAUUCUGUAGGUGAAGUCAUCUGAGCUGUGUGACCCCUGUGCUUGUAAUCUGUUCAUAAACCUGAUUCAGCACUGCAGGGUAUCUGAGAUUAACAUGGGAUCCAGGUAUUUAUUUUUGCACUUGCCUAUAAAUAGAGGUUUCUGCAUUCUUUGCUUAUGCUUAUUUGUGGUUUUAUUUGUUCUCCUUUUAAAACUAUAUGGUUUGUGGAAGAUUUGGGGAUAUAUGUUGAGAUACCCACCUGGAUUAAGUCAGUCACAGGGACCAGCAGUACAGGAAAUCUUAAAGUCAUAUGAUAUAAAUGGAUUUCAGCUAUUUGUUUCAAUUAUAUGCUUAUAGAAUUAAACGGAUGCAUAUAUAUUUCAGAUAAGUAUGAUAAACAAUAAGAAAUCUAUAAACUGUGCAUCAAAUGUACUUCUUUAAUUCACCAUAAUCCUACUGUAAUCUGCACUCAAAGCUUUGUGUGUUAAUUAUGAAGGGAUAUGAAUCUCUGCAUUUCCUUUAUCCUUGCCUUUUAGUAGUGACUUGGUAAUAUCUGCUAAUGGGCUUUGUUGUCUGAUGAACUGAAUUACUGUGUUCUCUGAACAGGACUCUGAUAAAUCAUCUAAGAUAUUUGAGAAAUUAACCUCCAUUUAAGCAUUAGAAUUGGGGACAAAAGCAUGAAAAGAUUACCUCUGAUGGAAAAGAAAAAUCAAUGGUUUGUAGUUUUUCAAGAACACAAAGAAGGCCUAAGUUUUCCAUUCAUAAUUAUAUUUGUAUAUAAAGCAAAAAUGAAAGGCAAUUUUCAUGAUAAAAAAGAUAUUCCCUGCUCCUCACUCUGUGAAUAUAGUUAUUUUCUUUAAAAACAGAAUUUUGCUAUGAAAAAUGUCAUUAUUUCAACCUUUGCAAGUUGUUGUUACUCAUAGACACAUUGAGGAAUAUCAUUUUUUUUAACAAAUAAAUCUUGUCCUCAUUUACA
rnacentral:lncRNA from 12 species